rnacentral:rRNA from 1 species
UACGGAGGAUGCAAGCGUUAUCCGGAAUGAUUGGGCGUAAAGCGUCCGCAGGUGGCUGUGUAAGUCUGCUGUUAAAGAGUGAGGCUCAACCUCAUAAAGGCAGUCGAAACUACAUGGCUAGAGUGCGUUCGGGGCAGAGGGAAUUCCUGGUGUAGCGGUGAAAUGCGUAGAGAUCAGGAAGAACACCGGUGGCGAAAGCGGCUCUCUGGGACGGUACUGACGCUGAGACGCGAAAGCGUGGGGAGCAAACAGG